rnacentral:lncRNA from 1 species
AUCUCAUCUGGAGAUCCCUGCCUGCUUGAAGUCUUCUGAAGAAGCUUGGAAAAUUAGCACAAGAUGCUCUUGAAAGUCCUGUAACACAUUGCUGUCUACAGAACAGCAGACAGACUGCUUGUCCAGACUGCCAAAGGAGCAUAGAAAGUGGAAAAUGAAGGAAAGCAGAGCCCUUGCUACUGUAUUCAGAGAUCUUCUACCCCCAGCUACCCUACUGAAUCUCUUUUUGGACACGUCCCAGAAGUAAUGCAGUCUAGGAGAGAGGGAGAAAAUACACUCUGAGCUCUAUUUUUAGUGGCUGUGUAAGCCUGAGAUGUGGCUCCACCCUUGCCACCCAUCCAUCCUCAGCCAAAAAAGGCCCUGGAAGAACUCCUGAAGUUGUGGUGAAUACCCUGUGCCACGCAGCCCUGAAUGCUGGGGUGUUCUCCUUUGGUGUCUGGAUAUGUAAAGGGUUUCACCAUGUGAGGUCUCAGGGAAGGGAGGCAGGACAACUCGUCCUGCUGCACAACACCCCUGAGUGUUGGGAAUCUGUUCCCUUAGAGAAAUAGUCAUUAAUCCAGUGACAUUGCAACUGGAAACAGAGGCAAUUUCUCUUCCUGUUCUUCAGCACUGUUUCUCUUCUGUAAUUUCACUGAUUAUAGGAAACAUUUCAGUGAGACAGGAUAUUUGCUCCUCUUGCUUCAUUAUCACCAUCUGGAUUUGCUGCUCGUUCCAUAUGCUCCCAGCUGAUGUUAGCCAUCCAAUGCAGUGUCACUACCAGUGUGCAGCUGGCAUUCCUGGCACUACUAAGGGAAGGAGAUGGUGGCACAGGGAAGAUAAAGGCAGGUUCUGUUCUCUCAGGUCAGAAGCAGACUGGUGUCAUUCUACAUUCUUACGCCACUGCUCCAUCACGCAUCAGCCCCACGUUUCAAUAUCCAGCUUUUCUCUAAUUGUCCCCAGACCACAUAGUUGGCUUUGGUACCACAUCUCCAGAAUUACACCCAUGUGAGGAGAGACCAGGACCCUGGGAGGUCUGUGGGUUACACCAAAUGUUAGCAAUUCAACUUCUGCUUCCUUUCCCAAGAGUAAUUUCCUUUAAGAUGGGGUUUUUUUCUGGGAUGUCCUGGGUUGGUUAUUCCCCCCUCACAUCUGGGUGGGAAGCAGUGGGCCAGCAACCUGCCUGCUGAGCAGCUGC